rnacentral:rRNA from 1 species
GAUUAACGCUAGCGGCAGGCUAAUACAUGCAAGUCGAGGGGCAGCAGGGGUAGCAAUACUCGCUGGCGACCGGCGCACGGGUGCGUAACACGUAUGUAACCUUUCCUUAACUGGAGAAUAGCUCCGAGAAAUCGGGAUUAAUACUCCAUAACACUGCGAAGUGGCAUCACUUUGCAAUUAAAGCUCCGGCGGUUAAGGGCGGGCAUGCGUCCCAUUAGCUAGUUGGCGAGGUAACGGCUCACCAAGGCUACGAUGGGUAGGGGUUCUAAGAGGAUUUACCCCCACACUGGCACUGAGAUACGGGCCAGACUCCUACGGGAGGCAGCAGUAAGGAAUAUUGGUCAAUGGGCGCAAGCCUGAACCAGCCAUGCCGCGUGUAGGAUGAAGGUCCUACGGAUUGUAAACUACUUUUGUACGGGAAAAAACCCCUCGUUUCUACGAGGGUUGAUGGUACUGUAAGAAUAAGGAUCGGCUAACUCCGUGCCAGCAGCCGCGGUAAUACGGAGGAUCCAAGCGUUAUCCGGAUUCACUGGGUUUAAAGGGUGCGUAGGCGGAAUGAUAAGUCAGUGGUGAAAACCUAUAGCUUAACUAUAGAACUGCCAUUGAUACUAUUA